CGCAGUCCGAAGACACCGGUCGCAAAUUUGUUCGCGUCUAUUGCAGAGUGGAGAUUAUACCGUUAUCAGUUCGUGGCUGGUGAAGUUAUUUCGCCCUAACGGGGUUCUCUUUAUUGCGCGAGUGAGGAGAGCAGCAAUCACUACCAGCGUAAGGAAGAAGUCCUCCACGGCGGACGCGGUGCGUGUGCCGUAUCAUCGCUGUGUGUGCUUUAGCAUCGUCAUCGAUUCCAUCAUCGUGUUGUGGUGCGAUAUACCGUUGCAUCUGUGCCGAGCGAUUGCCACGCGGUUCGAUUGGGACAUCGUUUCAUUUCAUUCGCAUUGGUGUGCGAUUUAGAACACGAAACUCCAUGCUUCUUCGGCAACGAUCUGUGCUGCGGAACAAAUUCGGUGAAACAAGUUUCUGCACGAAGGUAAUGGUUACAGACGCACGAGAUCAUCAUGGAGCAUAUUUCCGUGGACUGUGUUAUCAACGAUUCGCUACUGAACGAGUUCGAUGAUGUCAAACAAAUCUCCAACUGGUUCAUCAAGGGGCAUAUUUUGAGUGAGUUUAUCGAUACUUUAUGAGGAGACAAUUUGACCUGACUCGGGACGCGAUCGACUACGAGGUGGCCGAGGCUCGGCUCGAGGAUCUCAAGCCCUAAAUGUCCGAUCUGUGAUCGGUGAUCGAGAUGUUUCUCUGUCCGACGCCGAAAAACCGGUUCUGUCAGAACGAAAUCACCCAAUAUAUCUGAGUCGGACAAUCUUUGCCCAAGAUCCGCGUGUAAAUAGCUGUGCGUCGAUUCACGCUCGAGUAGCUACUCCUGCCCCAGGAGUACGUGCUCGAUAAAUUGCGGCAUAUGCUGAGCGCGUUUCUGGAUGAGGAUCUGCGUAAACAGCAAUGAGAUAGAGUUUGAAGGAAAAUUAUGACGUUAUUGACGUAGGACUACGUCUAACCUUUCAAUAUAGGGGCCCAUUUUAAUAUUUCGGUGUGAAAAAGUGUUCAGUUGUUGAACGCUAAUACCUCCUCAAUUAAUGAAUAGAUUUUGGUUCCAAAUACACACAUUGAAAGGGAAUAUCCUCAGCAAUUGUUUAUAUGCUACACAUUAUGGUUUUUCGGCUCAUAUAAAGUUCAAAUUGAUGAAAAAUUGGAAGAAAGAAUUCCCUACUU